GAUGAACGCUGGCGGCGUGCCUAAUACAUGCAAGUCGAACGAAACUUCUUUAUCACCGAGUGCUUGCACUCACCGAUAAAGAGUUGAGUGGCGAACGGGUGAGUAACACGUGGGCAACCUGCCCAAAAGAGGGGGAUAACACUUGGAAACAGGUGCUAAUACCGCAUAACCAUAGUUACCGCAUGGUAACUAUGUAAAAGGUGGCUAUACUACCGCUUUUGGAUGGGCCCGCGGCGCAUUAGCUAGUUGGUAGGGUAAAGGCUUACCAAGGCAAUGAUGCGUAGCCGAAUUGAGAGGUUGAUCGGCCACAUUGGAACUGAGACACGGCCCCAACUCCUACGGGAGGCAGCAGUAGGGAAUCUUCCACAAUGGGCGAAAGCCUGAUGGAGCAACGCCGCGUGGGUGAAGAAGGUCUUCGGAUCGUAAAACCCUGUUGUUAGAGAAGAAAGUGCGUGAGAGUAACUGUUCACGUUUCGACGGUAUCUAACCAGAAAGCCACGGCUAACUACGUG
rnacentral:rRNA from 1 species